ensembl:lncRNA
GAAUGUCCAGUUGGAAUUUGGCCCCUUCUGGAGUGACCGCCGGGAUUUGGGAUGUGCGGCCGGAAUUCGGAGUGACCACUGCGAUGUGCGGCCGGAAUUCGGAGUGACCACCGGGAUUUGGGAUGUGCGGCCGGAAUUCGGAGUGACCGCCGGGAUUCGGGAUGUCCGGCCGGAAUUCGGCUGCAGGAGGGGCUCGGCCGUUGCCGGGGACGUUUGCCCAGACUUUGGCCAGGCCGGCCGGACGCCCCCGGGAUGGGCCUGGGAGGGGCUGGAAGGGGGUGGGGGUGGCCGAGGUGGCCGGAGGGUCACUCCUGGUGGUCCAAGGGUCACUCCUGGUGGUCCAAGGGUCAUUCCUGGUGGUCCAGAGUGGCCUGAGGGUCAUUCCAAGUGGUCCAAGGGUCAUCCCAGGUGGUCCAAGGGUCAUUCCAUGUGGUCCAGAGUGGCUGGAGGGUCAUCCCAGGUGGUCCAAGGGUCAUUCCUGGUGGUCCAAAUGUUGUCCAUCAUGGUCCAGGGUGGCCUGAGAGUCAUUCCUGGUGGUCCAAGGGUCACUCCAGGUGGUCUGAGGUGGUCCAAGGGUCAUUCCUGGUGGUCCAGAGUGGCUUGAGGGUCAUUCCAAGUGGUCCAAGGGUCAUGCCAGGUGGUCCAAGGGUCAUUCCAGGUGGUCUGAGGUGGCCUGAGGGUCAUCCCAGGUGGUCCAAGGGUCAUUCCAGGUGGUCCAAAUGUUGUCCAUCAUGGUCCAGGGUGGCCUGAGGGUCAUUCCAGGUGGUCCAAGGGUCACUCCAGGUGGUCCAAGGGUCAUUCCGGGUGGUCCAAGGGUCACUCCAGGUGGUCCAAGGGUCAUUCCGGGUGGUCCAAGGGUCACUCCAGGUGGUCCAAGGGUCAUUCCGGGUGGUCCAAGGGUCACUCCAGGUGGUCCAGGGUGGCCUGAGGGUCAUUCCAGGUGGUCCAAGGGUCAUUCCAGGUGGUCCAAGGGUCAUUCCAGGUGGUCCAGGGUGGCCCAAGGAGAUCCAAGGUGGCCCAACAUCCAUCCAAGGCUCAUCCAACAUUGCCCAGGGUCCAUCCGAGGGGGUCCAAAGUUGCCCAAAUUCCACCCAAAGUUGCCCAAAUUCCAUCCCAGGUGGCCCAAAUUCCAUCCGAGGUGGUCCAAAGUGGCCCAAAUCCCACCCGAGGUGCCCAAAUUCCACCCAAAGUUGCCCAAAUUCCAUCUGAGGUUGCCCAAAUUCCACCCGAGGUUGCCCAAAUUCCACCUAAAGUUGCCCAAAUUCCACCCCAGGUUGCCCAAGGUCCACCCGAGGCCACCGCGGCUCCUCAGACCCCCCAAGACCCCAAAUCCCAAAAUUCCCAAAAAUCCCCAAAAUUCCCAAAAUCCCCAAAAUUCCCAAAAUCCCUCAAAAUUCCCCCCAAAAUCCCCAAAAUCCCCAAAUCCGCCCCAAAGCACUUCCGGGGUGGGGGAGGGGCCUUGGACCUCCCCUCCCGCCCCCCCAAAUUUGGGCUUUUCCCACCAAAAAAAAAUCGGGAAUUUUGGGAAUUUUAAGGAAAUUUGGGAAUUUUUGGGGAUUUUUUGGGAUUUUCAUGGUACCACCGGGACCUCCCGGGUCUCUUCGCACUUUAAGACGUCCCCGAGACCCCACCCCGGGCACAAAAAUCCCCCAAAAAAUUCAAAAUUAAAGAAAAAGGCUCCAAAUCCCAAAUUUCCCAUUUUUGGGAAUUUUGGGGGUUAA